rnacentral:rRNA from 1 species
GACGAACGCUGGCGGCGUGCUUAACACAUGCAAGUCGAACGGAAAGGCCCUGCUUUUGUGGGGUGCUCGAGUGGCGAACGGGUGAGUAACACGUGAGUAACCUGCCCUUGACUUUGGGAUAACUUCAGGAAACUGGGGCUAAUACCGGAUAGGAGCUCCUGCUGCAUGGUGGGGGUUGGAAAGUUUCGGCGGUUGGGGAUGGACUCGCGGCUUAUCAGCUUGUUGGUGGGGUAGUGGCUUACCAAGGCUUUGACGGGUAGCCGGCCUGAGAGGGUGACCGGCCACAUGGGGGCUGAGAGACGGCCCAGACCCCUACGGGGGGCAGGAGGGGGGAAUAUUGCACAAGGGGGGGAAGCCUGAGGCAGCAACCCCGGGGGCGGGAUGACGGCCUUGGGGUUGUAAACCGCUUUCGCCUGUGACGAAGCGGGGGUGACGGUAAUGGGUAAAGAAGCACCGGCUAACUACGU